rnacentral:tRNA from 32 species
GGGUCGUUAGCUCAGUCGGUAGAGCAGCGGACUUUUAAUCCGUUGGUCCCGCGUUCGAAUCGCGGACGACCCACCA